CAUAAACACACACAUGCACGCACGCGCGCACACGAACACACACACACACACACACACACACACACACACACACACACACACGCAGAAAGCAAUAGUCAGGAAGAGAUGCUGUGAACAGGUUUGGUACCUGCCAAGAUAGAAAAUUCUAAAAGCACAUGGGCAUCAAGGAUCCAUGAGACCUUUGUAUAACACAACACAAAACCUGCGUGUAAUGGACACACAACUUCCUGUGCACUCUGUCAUCUCUAGACCAUUGACAAUCCCUAGUGCCACAUCAAUACGUUAUUCAGCCUCGAAGGAAAUUCUUCACACACUCCAUGAACUAAACUUUUCAGCUUGGAAUUCUUAUGAAUGAAGCCGCACACCUCUGUCAGAGCCAGUUGAGCACAUUGGUGGGUCUGAAUCCUGUCCCGCUGGUCUGUGUGUCAAUCUUCACAGCAAACCACACUGUCUGGAUCACCGGAGCUGUACCACAGACCUCAAUACCAACCCCAGUGCCUGC